rnacentral:rRNA from 1 species
AACGAACGCUGGCGGCAUGCCUAACACAUGCAAGUCGAACGAGACCUUCGGGUCUAGUGGCGCACGGGUGCGUAACGCGUGGGAACCUGCCCUUAGGUUCGGAAUAACUCCCCGAAAGGGGUGCUAAUACCGGAUAAUGUCUUCGGACCAAAGAUUUAUCGCCUUUGGAUGGGCCCGCGUUGGAUUAGCUAGUUGGUAGGGUAAAAGCCUACCAAGGCGACGAUCCAUAGCUGGUCUGAGAGGAUGAUCAGCCACACUGGGACUGAGACACGGCCCAGACUCCUACGGGAGGCAGCAGUGGGGAAUAUUGGACAAUGGGCGGUAGCCUGAUCCAGCAAUGCCGCGUAAGUGAUGAAGGCCUUAGGGUUGUAAAGCUCUUUUACCCGGGAUGAUAAUGACAGUACCGGGAGAAUAAGCUCCGGCUAACUCCGUG